rnacentral:rRNA from 1 species
GACGAACGCUGGCGGCGUGCUUAACACAUGCAAGUCGAACGGUGAAGCGCCUUCCUUUUUGGUGGGUGUGGAUGAGUGGCGAACGGGUGAGUAACACGUGAGUAACCUGCCCCCUUCUUCUGGAUAACCGCAUGAAAGUGUGGCUAAUACGGGAUAUUCUGGGUCUGUCGCAUGAUGGGUCUGGGAAAGAUAUUGUUUCGGUGGGGGAUGGGCUCGCGGCCUAUCAGCUUGUUGGUGGGGUGAUGGCCUACCAAGGCGGUGACGGGUAGCCGGCCUGAGAGGGUGGACGGUCACACUGGGACUGAGACACGGCCCAGACUCCUACGGGAGGCAGCAGUGGGGAAUAUUGCACAAUGGGCGCAAGCCUGAUGCAGCGACGCCGCGUGAGGGAUGGAGGCCUUCGGGUUGUGAACCUCUUUCGCCAGUGAAGCAGGCCUGCCCCGUUUGUGGGUGGGUUGACGGUAGCUGGAUAAGAAGCGCCGGCUAACUACGU